CCUAUGCGUGCAUUUGCGCCAGAGAGCCAAGUCAGGUGAGAAAAAAGGGGGCGUGUGCAAUACGAGGGAUUGAGAGAGAGAGAGAGAGAGAGAGAGAGAGAGAGGGUGCGAUGAUUAAUACGAUUAAGACAUUUGAAAGGUACUACUGAACUGUGGGUCCACAGGUAUCAUUUGCAAGAAUAUUGAAUAUGCCGUGUUAAACAAUUUAAGAGACUUGCUUUUAAGCAUCAUCUACGGCAGUCUGCCUGAUAUCAAUAAUUGCACUGACUCGUCCGUAAUAAUCACACCGAUAGGAUAAUUGGAAACCUGCAGUUGUCACAGGAGUAUGCAUAAUGGGCAGUCUCAAAAAUAUAUUCCGCAGCAGAAUUUUCUGAGAAGCAGCUGCAGUGAUCACUAAAACGAAUCAAAGGCAAGAGAAGCAAAGGAAAUAUAAACUUUGAAUCAUCCAAUGGAGUAUAGAAAAACUGAUGGCACCCUCAUAGUGCAGCUUCGAAGUAAUUUACUCUUGCCGUCUGUAUGCGUCAUUGUUUAUAUACCGUACAGUGAAUGAUCACCUGUAUUCAACUAUUUAUAAAUCAGCUAUUGAAAGUGUCUCGGUAACAUAUUCAGGCUGCAUGCCUAUGGCGUGGAUGCCUGCUCCCUUUAUAGGAAGUUUACUGAUAAUUUAGCGUUCUACAAUUUUGGUAGCAUGACAAUGUAUUGUACGGCGACAAAAAAAUCCUUGUAACUGGUCAAUAGAUGGAACUGGACUCACGGGUGCGACAACGGCGUUCACUGUAUCACUGGGUCAUUUUAAUGAAAAAUCCGCAAGAGCGGUUGUUAUUUGUUGAUGCGGUUUUAAUUUAUGCAUGAGAGAGCCGAUUCAUCAUGAGAAACAUGUAGUAGAGGUUAGGCGAGUAACAAAAAACGAUGAAAGACAACAAUGACAGAUGUUAAUGCGCUAAACAUCUUUGAUUCCAUCAAGUUACUCGCUUUGCUGUCUUCUCUUGGCCAU